UGGGCGAAAGCCUGAUCCAGCAAUGCCGCGUGAGUGAUGAAGGCCUUAGGGUUGUAAAUCUCUUUUACCAGGGAUGAUAAUGACAGUACCUGGAGAAUAAGCUCCGGCUAACUCCGUGCCAGCAGCCGCGGUAAUACGGAGGGAGCUAGCGUUGUUCGGAAUUACUGGGCGUAAAGCGCACGUAGGCGGCUUUUCAAGUCAGGGUGAAAUCCCGGGGCUCAACCCCGGAACUGCCCUUGAAACUGGAUGGCUAGAAUACUGGAGAGGUGAGUGGAAUUCCGAGUGUAGAGGUGAAAUUCGUAGAUAUUCGGAAGAACACCAGUGGCGAAGGCGACUCACAUGGACAGUUAUUGACGCUGAGGUGCGAAAGCGUGGGGAGCAAACAGG
rnacentral:rRNA from 1 species